CUUCAUCUCAUCCCAUAGGCAUUCUAUCAUCCACAUCAUGACAAGAAGAAGGAUCCAUACUCUGCCCUUGUCACCCUGCUCAGUGCUCUAGGAACUGGAUCACCAGGGGUUGCAACCUGACCUGGCCCACUGGCUUCUUCUGGAGCCAAUCCAUGUUAUCCUGAAGGAAGAUACUGCCAGAAGCACUUACGGAGGCAUCAUGGAACUUUUACUUUUACUAUCAUUAGACACCAGCUGUAUGCCGGACAUAAGAGAAACAAAGAUGGGUCCCAGCCUGCAGAAGCUCACAGCUUAGACAGCAUUCAGAAACAUGACAAUUGGGAAACCCAGCCAUGUGUGAUGGGCUCACACACCAGGUAUUAAGGAAGACCUGGGAGGACACCUCCCUCUGCGUGGGUCAGCAGUCCGGGGAAGUCUCUUUCAGAGGGACAAUGAGCCCAGAUCUUCAUCUUGAAGGACAAAUGGGAGCUUGUCUCAUCCAAGAAGAACACAUGUCACCCUCCUCUACUUUUACCCCUUCCCUCUCUGCACUCUGCUCUGC